ensembl:lncRNA novel transcript
GCACCAGGGGAUUUUUCUUACAUAUUUACCAUGAGAACCUAAUAGAGCUCCAGGUGGUAGGACUCACAAAAGUGUGGGGCUUCUCUGUGAUUGGGUCCUCCUGGAGUUUUUAACUCUGAGGCUUGUCUACACCAAGCCUCCAGCAUUUCAUCGGUUACACUUUAGGUUUUCCUACCCCAGCACUGCUUCCUACAGAGGCUCUGUCUCAGUUUUCCAGCUGGGACAUAGUUUUUCUUCUGUCUUUCCACAUGGAUUCGAACUAACACCAUCAGCUCGCCUGCUUCUCAGACCUUCAGACUCAGAUGGAACUACACUAUAGGUUCUCCUGGGUCUGGACUUCUCAGCCUCCAUAAUCAUAGGUUUUCCUCAAAUGUGUGAUGACCUUAGCUGACCAUUUUUUUUUUAAAGAACUUCUAACAUUUUUCAUUAAGGAAUGUGGGAUUUGAGACCCAAAGAAGUGAAGUAACCUGCCCAAGUUUACACAGCUUGGAGUAGAACCCGAGUUUCUAUGGACUCCAGAGCUCAUGAGUUCACCACUUUUCUGUGCCUCCUAACUCUAUGCCGCUGAGGACUCAGAAGAAGCCAGUGCUAAUGCUUUCUCCAGUUUCUCUCCUCUUGUGUGAACUGUGUGAACUGCCACUUUAAGACUCUCUUGGAGAAUCAUAAUCCAAGUUGCGAAGUCCAACAAUUCCUCUGGAGAAAUGGUUCUCAACUGGGGGCAAAUUUGGGCCCCAGGAGACAUAUGGCAAUGUCUGACAAUGUUUUUUUGAUUGUUACAAACAGGUUGGGGAGAG